rnacentral:rRNA from 1 species
AACGAACGCUGGCGGCAGGCUUAACACAUGCAAGUCGAACGCAUCCUUCGGGGUGAGUGGCAGACGGGUGAGUAACACGUGGGAACGUACCUUUCGGUUCGGGAUAACCCAGGGAAACUUGGGCUAAUACCGGAUACGUCCUUUGGGAGAAAGAUUCAUUGCCGAAAGAUCGGCCCGCGUCUGAUUAGCUAGUUGGUGGGGUAAGUGGCCCACCAAGGCGACGAUCAGUAGCUGGUCUGAGAGGAUGAUCAGCCACACU